GACGAACGCUGGCGGCGUGCUUAACACAUGCAAGUCGAACGGAAAGGCCCUGCUUUUGUGGGGUGCUCGAGUGGCGAACGGGUGAGUAAAACGGGGGUACCCUGCCCUGGACUUUGGGUAAACUUAGGGAAACUGGGGCAAAACCCGAUAAGAAGUCCUGCCUCAAGGGUGGGGGUGGGAAAGUUUCGGCGGUUGGGGAUGGACUCGCGGCUUAUCAGCUUGUUGGUGGGGUAGUGGCUUACCAAGGCUUUGACGGGUAGCCGGCCUGAGAGGGUGACCGGCCACAUUGGGACUGAGAUACGGCCCAGACUCCUACGGGAGGCAGCAGUGGGGAAUAUUGCACAAUGGGCGGAAGCCUGAUGCAGCAACGCCGCGUGCGGGAUGACGGCCUUCGGGUUGUAAACCGCUUUCGCCUGUGACGAAGCGUGAGUGACGGUAAUGGGUAAAGAAGCACCGGCUAACUACGUG
rnacentral:rRNA from 1 species